rnacentral:tRNA from 1 species
GGGUCAUUAGCUCAGUUGGUAGAGUACCACACUGGCAGUGGGGAUGUCAGCGGUUCGAGUCCGCUAUGCUCCACCA